GCCUGCCCUGUGACUAUAUGUUCAACGGCCGCGGUAUUUUGACCGUGCGAAGGUAGCGCAAUCACUUGUCUUUUAAAUGAAGACCUGUAUGAAUGGCAUCACGAGGGCUUAGCUGUCUCCCCCUCCCAGUCAAUGAAAUUGAUUUUCCCGUGCAGAAGCGGGAAUAAGAACAUAAGACGAGAAGACCCUAUGGAGCUUAAGACGCCAGGACAGCUCAUGUUAAACACCCCAGAACAAAGGGAAUAAACUUAGUGAAACCCUGCCCUAGUGUCUUUGGUUGGGGCGACCACGGGGAAAAACUUAACCCCCAUGCGGAAUAGGAAUACUAUUUUCCUAGACUCAAGAGCUCCCGCUCUAAUAGACAGAAUUUCUGACCAAAAGGAUCCGGCAAUGCCGAUCAACGGACCGAGUUACCCUAGGGAUAACAGCGCAAUCCUCUUUAAGAGUCCCUAUCGACAAGAGGGUUUACGACCUCGAUGUUGGAUCAGGACAUCCUAAUGGUGCAGCCGCUAUUAAGGGUUCGUUUGUUCAACGAUUAAAGUCCUACGUGAU
rnacentral:rRNA from 1 species